GGCACUGAAUUGCUGCUUGUUCAUGUAUGAAACGGCCUACAGCCUACUCAUGUUUACUUGCUGAUGUAUAGUCCUUAGCUCUUCUAAUUGAUGUGCCGGUAGAAGUUCAAUAGUUCAGAAUUCCCGAUUCGGCAGAGAUAGCAGUUAACUUCCACGAUGCAGUUGAGCGUGAAGCACCAGUUCUGCAUCUUUAUCAGCUGCAAGAGGACAGCCGAGUCUCGUGAAUGGACUGUUGUUGGGCCUGCGAAUGGACUACGGUCGACCUGG